rnacentral:misc_RNA from 1 species
GAUGGAGGAAGAGAAUCAGCCGAUAAUAGAGAGAGCAUCAUACGGUGACACAUCCCAAUGCAGGGUGAAAGAGGAUCUAUAUUUUGAAAGAAAGCUGAAACAGAAUUUUUAUGCAUGGCUGGUUCACCAAGUUACUGAUGAUGGCAGAGGGCGAACUCUUCUUGAUGGUGAAGGCCAAGGUGUACUUCAUUUGGUAGCUGCACUUGGUUAUGAUUGGGCCUUUAAGCCAAUUUUAGCAUCAGGGGUAAGUGUAGAUUUUCGUGACAUGAAUGGAUGGACUGCA